rnacentral:lncRNA from 1 species
UUUGGUUUAUAGGUUUUUGAAAUAUAUCAUUCAAUUAUUUAUGAAAUUUGGUACAUGGUUCAGUCUUGGUUCGAUUAUUUUAGUUUUUAGUUUGGUUCAGAUAAUAAUAUUUACCCUAAUACAAUUAUUUGAAGCAGAUAAUGAAGUCUCGUACCCAAAAAGGAAAGGACUAUAAUUCAUUAACAAGGGUUUACAUAAUGAAGUAGACAUGCAUAUUAGAAAAAUUAAGAUAUUGCGGAGACUAUAAUUUUAUAUUAAUAGUAUUUAAAUAAGUCUUAUUAAUUUUAAUUGACAUUUUAUUA